AAAAGUGUUAACUGAAUGCAGACCCCAGGGAGAAGCAGCUUCUUGGGCAUGCGUGUUAAGAGACAAAAUGGCGAAGGAUGACGUUCCAGGGGCAGAGGCCACUUGAAAAAGCCUCAGAUGGGCAUGCGUGUAACUCCCAAAACAGGCUGUUCGUGCUCAAUUGCAAAGGGUAGGGAAAGCACUGCCCAGGCAAGCCCACCCUAAGGAAAGAAUCAUGGGAAAGAGGGAACCUAUAAAGUCAUAGGAUCAAGGUUAAAGGCCUUUUGUUUUUUUGUUUUUUUGUUUUUUUUGGCUGCCUUCUUUUUCUCUCUUUGACUUUCAGGAGCCCACUUGGAUCUCUUCCAAGGGAUCUUUCUUUCUUCUCUUAUUAAGGCAGAGAAUCAUGGGAACCAUUAUAACAAAGAAGUCAAGAGUGUUGGUGUGGAGUGGACCUUGGUUUGAAUACUCAGCUCUGCCACUUACUAGCUGUAGGCUCAUAUGCAAGUUACUAUCCUCAUCUGUUAAAAAGGAAUAAUAUCUAAUGUUAUAUAAAAUGUAAAAGUUAUUUCACACAAUGCCAUUCACAUAGUAAAUGUUCAAUAAAAGCAAAAACCUCAGGACAUAUAUAAGUGGCAAUGUGAAAUUAAUACAGCAGAAGCUCAGUUCACACAGAUGUUAAUCCUUAAACAAGCCUUGCAUUGUAUGAGUAUCCCACAAAAGGAGUAAGGGAAGAAGAUCUUACAUCACUGGAGUGAGUGACUACCAUGGACCAGCCACCGUUACUCACUUUACUUCAUUUAACCCGCACAAUAGCCUCAUGAGGUAGAUAUCAUCACCAUUUUGCAGAUGAGAAAGCUGAAGCUAAGCAAAGUUGACCUGACCAAAAUCACAUAGCAAUUAAGAUAGGAGUCCAGCUUCGUCUCAUUCCAAUAUGAGUGCGUUUUCCUCUUUUCCAUUGGCUCUCAAAGUUUGGUCUUAAAGGAGCUGUAUCAGCAUCACCUGGGAACUUAUUAGAACUGCACCUUCUCAGCCCUACCCCAAACCCACUGGGUCAGAAACUCUGGGGUUGGGGCCUAGCCAUCUGUGUUUCACACUCAGACUGACACACGAUCAUUUCUGAUAACCACUGCUCUAUGACAUGCGUUUCCUCUUCAGUUAGGAUCCGACUCCUUAUUUUGUAUUUAACAAGGAGUAUGAAACAAAGCCCGGGCUCUGAAUUUGUAUUCCUCAGCAAUAAUGUGUCAAGUAAUCUUAAACAAGCAAACCCCUGGCCCAUUCCAGCCCAUAGUGCAUGUGCGGAAGAAAAGUAGAAAUUAAUAUUGGGGCCAUUUUGCAUAUUCCUAAACCCGUAAGCUAGUCUCUUUGGAGAACGUUAAAGCUUUGCUAUUGUCACAACUAGUGGUGUCACUUCCCACCAUUCCUGUUAGUCUUGGGCAACAUGAUAUAUUUAUUAAGCUCCUACUAUGUGCCACUGGGAGAAGAGUGAAGAACAAAAUCAGCAAAGCCUCCCCUCAGGGAGCAUAUGAUCCGAUCUUUCCCAGCAGUGGACUCUUGUUGGUCAUUCCUAGAAUCCCAAGACCCUUCUCUUUUAUCGUUCCCCCCACCAAACCUAUCUACAUUUAGAAUGGGAAUAACUAUAACUUCUAGGCAAGUAACUGUAACUCCUAACUGAGAUCAUUUACUCAAACUCCCCUGGAUCACACAUAGCCUGUCCACCCAAUGUAGUAUAGCUGACUCCUCUGGUCUGAAUGUGCCCCCUCAAAAUUCACAUAUUGAAACCCUGACCCCCAAGUCGACAGUAAUUAGGAGGUGAGGAUUUGGGGAGGUGACUGUGACUCAUGCCCUUAUAAAAGACGCCCCAGAGAGACCCCUCACCCCUUCCACCGUGUGAGCACACAGCAAAAACUACCUUGUAUGAACCAGAAAGUAAGUCCUCACUAGACAAUGAAUCUGCCAGCACCUUGAUCUUCCACUCCCCAGCCUCCAGAACUGUGGGAAACAAGUUUAUAAACCACCCAGUUUAUGAUACGUUGUUAUAGCAGCCUGAACAGACUAAGACACUGACCAAAUGAUAAGGAUCAGAGAAAAGCCAAUCAAGCUUGGAGAAACCAUUUUCCAAGCACCCACUGUACCAGCAGCCCAAGAAUCAUUCAGAAUUGUCCUGGCCAUUACGCUGUGUGCCCAUGGAUCUCAGCAUGAGUCUGAAGAAUCAGCUCUGCCAAGCCAGGACCCAGACCCUCCAGCAUUUUAGUCCAAUGUUCUCUGCACUCCCCGGGUGAUGGUGUGAUGCUGGAGUUACCACAAGUCAUCAGCCUCACUAGCCAAAGGGCAAAUACCCUGAAUUUGCUCUUUAUUGACUAUAUGAGAACCACAUUGCUUCACACUGAAAACAAGUACUAUUUGAAGUAUAAAAGGACUCCUAAUCUAUAUUCCACCUGCCGCUAGCUCUGUCUUUGAAAGCCAUUGCCUUCACUGAAUGAUUCCAGCUGGUGCUCUCCUCUGUGCUGGCUUUUAUGGGCUAUAAGGAUGGAUACACAAGGUGUAGGUCAGUUUUUUAGGGAAUGUAGAAGCCUUGCCCUCUCAACUCAACACAUGCUUCUCUUUUCUUCUUCCCUCUAUCCUGGAAUUAAUGGGGAUAAAUGUUGCUAAAGCAUCUAGUUAAAUGUUCUUAGAUAAUUCUGGUCUGUACACUGAUUGACCAGAAAACAGAAAUGACUUCAUCUGAAAGAAAACUAAUAUAUGUGGGAAAGAGGAGUGAUCGGCUGUAAUAUUUAUGUUUUCCUGUCUCUUGUGUGAAUUCACAGGCAACUUCCAGAAUAAAAUCCUC
rnacentral:lncRNA from 10 species